CCUCUCCCAGGGUCGCAUCUGGAGAGUUUCCAGUACUCCACCAGCCUCGACUAUGGGAGGAAGAGUCAAGCAGAGGCCUAUCCAUUCCAUUCCUAGCUUGGGCAGUGGCUAGCAAGUGGAAGGCAAUCUGCUACGAGU
rfam:Ornithorhynchus anatinus chromosome 11, whole genome shotgun sequence.